rnacentral:lncRNA from 1 species
AUGUGUCGUGGGUUUGAAAGGGGAUUUAGGGUUCUCACCUAAAUCCAUCAUCAACACAAGAAUUCUGCAUAAAUUGGGGUGAUUUAAGCUGGAAAUCGAGUGCAUGAGACAUCAUCUACACUUGUCUAGGUGUCCUUGAGAUAAGGAACGUGUCAAGGAGAGCUCAAGCAUAGGAGGAUAACGGGUCAAAAUAAGGCAAGGUGACAAAUACACUUAUUGGAGUAUUCAAGGUCGCACGGACUUAACAUCAUUAUGAAGUAAAUGAGGAUUGAAGAUCGGGUCAAAGAGCGAGGAUUGUACGGGAAGGGUAGUCACAUAACUGGUCGCACGGACUUAACAUCAUUAUGAAGUAAAUGAGGAUUGAAGAUCGGGUUAAAGAGCGAGGAUUGUACGGGAAGGGUAGUCACAUAACUGGUGAUUUUAUAUUACAUUUGAUGCGAUAAUCAAGAAUGAACGUUGUAAAUCUUUUGAAGAAAGUGUUUGUUAUU